CCUACGGGUGGCAGCAGUGGGGAAUAUUGGACAAUGGGCGAAAGCCUGAUCCAGCCAUGCCGCGUGUGUGAAGAAGGCCUUCGGGUUGUAAAGCACUUUCAGUGGGGAAGAAAGCCUUGGGGCUAAUACCCUCGAGGAAGGACAUCACCCACAGAAGAAGCACCGGCUAACUCCGUGCCAGCAGCCGCGGUAAUACGGAGGGUGCGAGCGUUAAUCGGAAUUACUGGGCGUAAAGCGCGCGUAGGCGGUCUGAUAAGCCGGUUGUGAAAGCCCCGGGCUCAACCUGGGAACGGCAUCCGGAACUGUCAGGCUAGAGUGCAGGAGAGGAAGAUAGAAUUCCCGGUGUAGCGGUGAAAUGCGUAGAGAUCGGGAGGAAUACCAGUGGCGAAGGCGGCCUUCUGGACUGACACUGACGCUGAGGUGCGAAAGCGUGGGUAGCAAACAGGAUUAGAUACCCUGGUAGUC
rnacentral:rRNA from 1 species